rnacentral:siRNA from 1 species
UAAAAAUAGGCUGAUAGGGUAGU